CGAGUCAGCCGGACAGUUGCUGCCCGAUAUCUCUCAGGAGGUGCCGGGGGGAGGAAAGUCCGGGCUCCGCAGAGCAGGGUGCCAGGUAACGCCUGGGGGAUGUGAAUCCACGGAAAGUGCAACAGAAAGUAUACCGCCCACACCUGGUUGCAGGUGUCGGGUAAGGGUGAAAUGGUGCGGUAAGAGCGCACCGCGCGACUGGUAACAGGACGCGGCAAGGUAAACCCCACCCGGAGCAAGGCCAAAUAGGAAUCCCAUGGUGUGGCUCGCACUGGAUUCGGGUAGGCUGCUUAAGGUCCGUGGCGACACGGAUUGUAGAUGAAUAACUGUCCUCGACAGAACCCGGCUUACAGGCUGGCUCAAACU
rnacentral:RNase_P_RNA from 1 species